UCCCACAGUGCACCGGGGCCGCCACGGCGCCUGCGCGGAGGCCGCGGCGCGCCCGGUCGCUAGGGCGGCGCGGCCUUGGCAACGAACGCCCGCGCGCGGGACGCCGGGAAGCGGGGUCUGUCCAGCGGCCGGCGGCGGGGCCGCGUCCGCGGUGACCGUCCGAGGCAGGCGCUCCACACCGGGCCUCUCAGCUCCCGAGCGCUUUCGCCGGCUCUGGCUUGUGGGCGGAGCCAGGACGCGGUUAUCCCGAAAGCCGCGCGGCGGGCAGUGCCCUGUCCUGCGCGGUCCUUGGCCGGUUUUCCCUCAGACCUCCACUCUGCCGCCGCCGCCACGCAUCCCGCGGGGCAGUUUCACCUGGUGUCCGUGUGCCAGAAACGGCAGGUGCGCGUCGGCCGGAGGCCCAGGAGAAGCGGGAUCGUGCAAGCUGAUGGACACAGCCAGGCUGGCCCCGGGUGCUGAUGGAGCCUGGGAAAUUGGUUGUAAGUCUCCGCGGUGCCGGGGCAGCAAGUGUCCGUGAGGCUCGUGCGGGUUUCCGCUUCCCCGCGCCCUUUCGAUGGAAGCAUCGUGGCCUGCUGUUGGUGACGUGGGCAGGCAGACAGGAGAAAAUCGGCUAGUUGGCGAGCUGGAAGACCACGUCUUCACACCCCUGUGAGCUCACCCCUUCCUGCCCCCACCUGUGCGCCCACUGCCACUCAGGCUACGUGACCACGCGCCUUUGGAAGUGGCUAAAAAGCCCGGAGCUCGCUGGGCCCUUCCUUUGUUGGCCGUUGCCUUCGGGGCGCGUGCCCGUUCCCGGGGCUCGCUCCUGGCCUGCUCUCUGCUUGCUGUGGACACAACUUAGCCUCUAGACGUCUGCUUUCCGAAAUGAAGCCCUCACCCUCCUGCACAUUUCUCUCACUGAAUAAAAUCCUUAAAACUUA